rnacentral:rRNA from 1 species
UCGGAGAGGGAGCCUGAGAAAUGGCUACCACGUCUAAGGAUGGCAGCAGGCGCGUAAAUUACCCAAUCCUGAUACAGAGAGGUAGUGACAGAAAAUAGCAACUCAAAGCAUUCGCUUUGCUGAUUGCAAUGAGGUUCGUUUAAAACUUGUUCCGAGGAUCAAUUGGAGGGCAAGUCUGGUGCCAGCAGCCGCGGUAAUUCCAGCUCCAAUAGCGUAUAUUAAAGUUGUUGCAGUUAAAAAGCUCGUAGUUGGCCAGAUAUAUGAAUUUAAGCAAUUCCUUCAAGGAAAUGUGAAGUUUGUUCGGGCCUCAUGAGAGCCUCUGUUACUUUGAGAAAAAUAGAGUGUUUCAGGCGGGCCAGAGCUGAAAUAGUGUACCAUGGAAUAACGAGGUGGCCAUAUUUCCGUUUCUUUGGUUCUGGAAAUGUGGUUCGUGGUUGAUAGGAACAGUCGGUGGUAUUCGUAUUGAACAGUCAGAGGUGAAAUUCUUAGAUUUGUUCAAGACGCACUAGUGCGAAAGCAUCUACCAAGGAUGUCUUCAUUAAUCAAGAACGAAAGUUAGGGGAUCGAAGACGAUCAGAUACCGUCGUAGUCUUAACUGUAAACUAUGCCGACUAGAGAUCGGUGGAUAUCAUUGUAGAUUCCUUCGGCACCUUAUGAGAAAUCAAAGUUUUUGGGUUCUGGGGGGAGUAUGGUCGCAAGGCUGAAACUUAAAGGAAUUGACGGAAGGGCACCACCAGGAGUGGAGCCUGCGGCUUAAUUUGACUCAACACGGGAAAACUCACCAGGUCCAGACAUAGGAAGGAUUGACAGAUUGAGAGCUCUUUCUUGAUUCUAUGGAUGGUGGUGCAUGGCCGUUCUUAGUUGGUGGAUUGAUUUGUCUGGUUGAUUCCGACAACGAACGAGACCUUCGCCUGCUUAUUAACCGUGCUUUCUUCCGAUUGCACGUGUUCUUAGCGGACUUUGUGCGUCACAGCAUAAUGAAGCGAAGGCAAUAACAGGUCUGUGAUGCCCUUAGAUGUUCUGGGCUGCACGCGUGCUACAAUGGAACGUUCAACAAGUUGCAAAGCCGUCAGGCCUAGCAGAUCUUUGAAGACGUUUCGUGACCGGGACAGUUGAUUGCAAUUAUUCGACUCGAACGAGGAAUUCCUUGUAAUCGUGGUUCAUCAUAUCGCGCUGAAUACGUCCCUGCCCUUUGUACACACCGCCCGUCGCUCCUACCGAUUGAGCGAUCCGGUGAAUUAUUUGGACUGGCUCAGAAUGCUUUGAUGUUUCUGCGCUUGGAAAUUCUGUGAACCUUAUUGCUUAGAGGAAGGAAAAGUCGUAACAAGGUAGCCGUA